rnacentral:rRNA from 1 species
AGGUUAAGUUAACAAGGGCGCAUGGUGAAUGCCUUGGCACUAGGAGCCGAUGAAGGACGGGACUAACACCGAUAUGCUUCGGGGAGCUGUACGUAAGCUAUGAUCCGGAGAUUUCCGAAUGGGGCAACCCAGCAGUUUUAAUCAACUGUUACCACUAGAUGAAUUCAUAGUCUAGUUGGAGGUAAACGCUGUGAACUGAAACAUCUCAUUAGCAGCAGGAAUAUAAAGAAAUUUCGAUUCCCUAAGUAGCGGCGAGCGAACGGGGAACAGCCCAAACCAAAGUGCUUGCACUUUGGGGUUGUAGGACUGAACAUUUGAGUUACCAAAGAACUUGAUAGUCGAAGGAUUUGGGAAAAUCCGCCAUAGAUGGUGAUAGCCCAGUAGAUUAAAUCAAAUUCUCUCAGUUCAGGAUCCUGAGUACGGCGGAACACGUGAAAUUCCGUCGGAAUCCGGGAGGACCAUCUCCCAAGGCUAAAUACUACCUAGUGACCGAUAGUGAACCAGUACCGUGAGGGAAAGGUGAAAAGCACCCCGGGAGGGGAGUGAAAUAGUUCCUGAAACCAUGUGCCUACAAUAAGUCAGAGCGCGUUAAUGCGUGAUGGCGUGCCUUUUGUAGAAUGAACCGGCGAGUUAUGAUCCCGUGCAAGGUUAAGACUAAAAAGUCGGAGCCGUAGCGAAAGCGAGUCUGAAAUGGGCGUUUUGAGUACGAGGUUAUAGACCCGAAACCAGGUGACCUAUCCAUGUCCAGGUUGAAGGUGCGGUAAAACGCACUGGAGGACCGAACCCGUGUAAGUUGAAAAUUGCUGGGAUGAGGUGUGGAUAGCGGUGAAAUUCCAAACGAACUUGGAGAUAGCUGGUUCUCUCCGAAAUAGCUUUAGGGCUAGCCUCGGAAUUAGGAUCAUGGAGGUAGAGCACUAUUUGGACUAGGGGCCCGUCUUGGGUUACUGAAUUCAGAUAAACUCCGAAUGCCAUUGAUUCAUAUCCGGGAGUCAGACGAUGAGUGAUAAGAUCCACCGUCGAAAGGGGAACAGCCCAGACCAUCAGUUAAGGUCCCUAAAUGUAUGCUAAGUGGAAAAGGAUGUGGAGUUGCAUAGACAACUAGGAUGUUGGCUCAGAAGCAGCCACCAUUUAAAGAGUGCGUAAUAGCUCACUAGUCGAGUGAUCCUGCGCCGAAAAUGUACCGGGGCUAAGCAUACUACCGAAACCAUGGAUGCGACCAUUAGGUCGCGUGAUAGGAGAGCGUUCUAAGGGCGGUGAAGCAAGAUCGUGAGGACUUGUGGAGCGCUUAGAAGUGAGAAUGCCGGUAUGAGUAGCGAAAGAUAGGUGAGAAUCCUAUCCACCGAAUGACUAAGGUUUCCUGGGGAAGGCUCGUCCUCCCAGGGUUAGUCGGGACCUAAGUCGAGGCCGAGAGGCGUAGACGAUGGAUAACAGGUUGAGAUUCCUGUACUAGUUAAGUGCGUUUGAGCAAUGGAGGGACGCAGGAGGCUAAGAUGUGCAUUCUGUUGGAUUAGAAUGUCCAAGCAGUAAGUCUUGUGAAGAGUCAAAUGCUUUUCACUUUAAGGACAAGCUGUGAUGGGGAGCGAAAUUUAGUAGCGAAGCGUCUGAUGUCACACUGCCGAGAAAAGCUUCUAGUGAGUACUUAACUACCCGUACCGCAAACCGACACAGGUAGUCGAGGAGAGAAUCCUAAGGUGAGCGAGUGAACUCUCGUUAAGGAACUCGGCAAAAUGACCCCGUAACUUCGGGAGAAGGGGUGCUGAUCGCAAGAUCAGCCGCAGUGAAUAGGCCCAGGCGACUGUUUAUCAAAAACACAGGUCUCUGCAAAAUCGUAAGAUGACGUAUAGGGGCUGACGCCUGCCCGGUGCUGGAAGGUUAAAAGGAUGGGUUAGCUUCGGCGAAGCUCAGAAUUGAAGCCCCAGUAAACGGCGGCCGUAACUAUAACGGUCCUAAGGUAGCGAAAUUCCUUGUCGGGUAAGUUCCGACCCGCACGAAAGGCGUAACGAUCUGGGCACUGUCUCAACGAGAGACUCGGUGAAAUUAUAUUGUCCGUGAAGAUGCGGACUACCCGCGACAGGACGGAAAGACCCCAUGGAGCUUUACUGUAGCUUGAUAUUGAGUGUUUGUACAGCUUGUACAGGAUAGGUAGGAGCCAUAGAAACCGGAACGCUAGUUUCGGUGGAGGCGUUGGUGGGAUACUACCCUCGCUGUAUGACCACUCUAACCCGCACCACUAAUCGUGGUGGGAGACAGUGUCAGGUGGGCAGUUUGACUGGGGCGGUCGCCUCCUAAAAAGUAACGGAGGCGCCCAAAGGUUCCCUCAGAAUGGUUGGAAAUCAUUCGCAGAGUGUAAAGGCACAAGGGAGCUUGACUGCGAGACAGACAGGUCGAGCAGGGACGAAAGUCGGGCUUAGUGAUCCGGUGGUACCGUAUGGAAGGGCCAUCGCUCAACGGAUAAAAGCUACCCUGGGAUAACAGGCUUAUCUCCCCAAGAGUCCACAUCGACGGGGAGGUUUGGCACCUCGAUGUCGGCUCAUCGCAUCCUGGGGCUGUAGUCGGUCCCAAGGGUUGGGCUGUUCGCCCAUUAAAGCGGUACGCGAGCUGGGUUCAGAACGUCGUGAGACAGUUCGGUCCCUAUCCGUCGCGGGCGUAGGAAAUUUGAGAGGACCUGUCCUUAGUACGAGAGGACCGGGAUGGACAUACCUCUGGUGUACCAGUUGUGCCGCCAGGCGCAUCGCUGGGUAGCUACGUAUGGAUGUGAUAAACGCUGAAAGCAUCUAAGUGUGAAACACACCUCGAGAUGAGAUUUCCCAUUCCUUUAUGGAAGUAAGACCCCUGAAAGAUGAUCAGGUAGAUAGGUUAGAAGUGGCAGUGCGGUGACGCAUGAAGCGGACUAAUACUAAUCGGUCGAGGACUUAACCAAG